rnacentral:rRNA from 1 species
AGUAAUGUAUAGGAACUUGCCUAGUAGUGGGGGAUAACGUGUGAAACGCACGCUAAUACCGCAUACGCUCUACGGAGGAAAGCGGGGGAUCUUCGGACCUCGUGCUACUAGAUGGGCCUAUAUCAGAUUAGCUAGUUGGUAAGGUAAUGGCUUACCAAGGCGACGAUCUGUAGCUGGUUUGAGAGAAUGAUCAGCCACACUGGGACUGAGACACGGCCCAG